UACGUAGGUGGCAAGCGUUGUCCGGAAUUAUUGGGCGUAAAGCGCGCGCAGGCGGUCUUUUAAGUCUGAUGUGAAAGCCCACGGCUCAACCGUGGAGGGUCAUUGGAAACUGGAGGACUUGAGUGCAGAAGAGGAGAGCGGAAUUCCACGUGUAGCGGUGAAAUGCGUAGAUAUGUGGAGGAACACCAGUGGCGAAGGCGGCUCUCUGGUCUGUAACUGACGCUGAGGCGCGAAAGCGUGGGGAGCGAACAGG
rnacentral:rRNA from 1 species